GCAAUAGGAAGGAGAGAAAUACUUUGAUCGCUUCCAGUUCCUUGGUACUGGGAAUGGGAGACAGAGAAGAUGACCAACGAUGUGUUAGGGAAGCAAGAGCCCCAGACCCAGGUGCCCACCGACACUGGUAGGCGCACUCAUGCCCACCCUGGGUACGUGGGUCACCAGGUCUUUAACUGGCUCCCUGGCGGAUACAUAGCUGCUUCAGAGGCUCCAGAGAGAACAGCACCUGCCCACACCCUGAUUUGAAACUUCUGACCCCCAGAACUGUUAGAGAAGAAGUCCGUGUUGCUUUAAGCCACUAAAUUGGUGGUAAUUUUUUACAGCACCAUCAGGAAACCAAAUCCUUAUUGCCUAAAGGGAAAGCUGAACUGCUUUGCAAGGCAUUCAAGGGCCUUCUGUUAGCUGCCUAACUGCCCCCUCCCCUCUACCCCACCCCAACCUUUACCCACAGAACUUCUCCAGGAUCCUCAACAGGUCACGCCCUCUCUUAUUCCCAUGCCUUUGUUUGUGCUAUUUCUUCCACCUGAACACCCUCUGCUCACGUGUUUGUCUGGCAAAUUCCUCAUCCUUUCUACAGCUCAGCUCAAAUAAUACCUCCUCUGUGAAGUCUUUCCUGCUUUUCCCUCGAGGAACUUAGGGCUCCUUUCCUGCUCCUCUGCGGCACUUCAAUCGCACUCCUGUUAAAGCAGGUCCAUGUGAUAAGGGCCCAACUGUUCCUUCCUGGGACAAUAAGCCAUUUGAGGGCAUGGAGCCUGUCUUUAGACCUUGCGUCUCCCUUAGCACUAGCACAGUCCCUGGUACAUCAAAUAAAGGUCCCCAGAGACUACAGCUCUUAUCCCGACUGUCAGCAGGCCCUGGACCAGUGACGCAGCCCCUCCAGCCCAAUUCUCCGUCCAUAACAAGCACCGGGGAAACCAUCCCUUCCCUUCCCCAGGGAGAGAUGAUGACAAAGGCAAUCCGACAUGGAAGUGUUUCAAGGCCAAAGAAAGAAAAAGGCGCCAGUCAGAGUUUGGUAAUGUUCCAGCUGUACCCACGGUACGUCACACUUCCUCUCCAAGUCUCAGUUCUUCAACGGGGCAGGCGCCACGUCCGCCUCCCACCCCAUUGCACCCCCCCACAUCUACACUGCUUUUCAGGGUGAAUCCUCUGGUGGAUGAAGAUCUUGGGGGAGGCUUUCCCACAUCCUUCAGACUCGUGGGCUCUCUCUCACGUGCACACACCGAUGUGGAGAUCAUCGUGACGGGAGGCUCCCCCACAGCCACUGCACUCACGUAAUCGAGUUCCAUGACCCUGAGUCAGGUAUACCUUCCCAGCUUCCAACUCGCCCGAGGGCUCUCCCACGGACACCUCAGGUGCAGGCAUGGGGUUCUUUCCAGCAGGAAUUAUUAUCUGAUGUUGUAUAAGAUGGUUACUCCACCCAAAUGAAGGCUUAUUCACGUUUAUUACACUUA